rnacentral:rRNA from 1 species
GACGWACGCUGSCGGCGUGCCUAAUACAUGCAAGUCGAGCGGAGUUAUUUUGAAAGCUUGCUUCCAAAAUAACUUAGCGGCGGACGGGUGAGUAWCACGUAGGCAACCUGCCCCUUAGACUGGGAUAACUACCGGAAACGGUAGCUAAUACCGGAUAAUUUCUUUUUUCUCCUGAAGAAAGAAUGAAAGACGGAGCAAUCUGUCACUGAGGGAUGGGCCUGCGGCGCAUUAGCUAGUUGGUGGGGUAACGGCCCACCAAGGCGACGAUGCGUAGCCGACCUGAGAGGGUGAACGGCCACACUGGGAGUGAGACACGGCCCAGACUCCUACGGGAGGCAGCAGUAGGGAAUCUUCCGCAAUGGACSMMMGUCUGACGGARCAACGCCGCGUGAGUGAUGAAGGUUUUCGGAUCGUAAAGCUCUGUUGCCAGGGAAGAAUGUCCGAUAGAGUAACUGCUAUCGGAGUGACGGUACCUGAGAAGAAAGCCCCGGCUAACUACGUGCCAGCCGCCGCGG